AAGUGAUCAUUUCAAAAUAUGCUUGUGCUUUGGUUCAUACAUUGUGAAGUGUGUGUUUGAUAAGUCCACUUUCAAAUGAGAACAGCAUUGAAUUUAUCUUUCAUCCCUAGAAAGCAGCAUGUAAUAAGGCAUGCAGAUCCUUUUGGGGAUCAAGGAAUGGGAUCAAGGACAGGUGAGUGGAUGCUGAAACUGCCUUGCUGGAUAAAUUGGCCAUAUAUACAAACCUGGUUAUUGGCUGGCUGCAUGCAAAGGUCACCCAUUGUAUUACAUCACAGUUGGGUAACGUGUCAUUGGCCAUUGUCUUCUGGCUAUAAAAGAGCCAGCGAUGGCCAGCUCAAGCCUUAAGCUCUCAAAGGCCCAUCAAGAGCAGGUGGUGCUCCAGCUGCAAAGAGCUUGAAAGACAAAAGACACCAUCUGAAAUGGCAAGAUUCAGACGCAGCCGGAGCAGAAGCCUCAGUCGCCGUCGCCGUCGGCGGCGACAUGGUGGCAAAGGUGGAAAGAAACGCGGACGGCGACGUGGCAGGAAAGGGAAAGGUAGGGAGUUGUUAAGUACACGUUUGGAAAAAUAUGUAAUAAUGGCUGUGUAGUAAUGGCUGCUUUGUACCAUAACUGAGGCAUAGGAAGUGACAGUGUCUUUGUUUUCUGUGUCUGUCUAGGUAAAAAGGGAGGUCACAGGAGGAGGAGGAGACGACACAAGAAGGACUAAAUAAAAGUCCCUCUUCAUCGUCUCUGGCAUCCCCUGAUUCCCCACACCGCUUGCCUCUGGAGCACCUGCGAAACAGAACAAAAAAGACACAAACCUUCUCAGAAACACCCAGGAUGACUUCCCCACCAUCAAGGAGGCUGAAACAAUUUGAACAAACCACCUGUCAAUAAAACAUUGGACAUUUUAUUUGC